AAUGGGUCAGCGACUUAUAUUCUGUAGCAAGGUUAACCGAAUAGGGGAGCCGAAGGGAAACCGAGUCUUAACUGGGCGUUAAGUUGCAGGGUAUAGACCCGAAACCCGGUGAUCUAGCCAUGGGCAGGUUGAAGGUUGGGUAACACUAACUGGAGGACCGAACCGACUAAUGUUGAAAAAUUAGCGGAUGACUUGUGGCUGGGGGUGAAAGGCCAAUCAAACCGGGAGAUAGCUGGUUCUCCCCGAAAGCUAUUUAGGUAGCGCCUCGUGAAUUCAUCUCCGGGGGUAGAGCACUGUUUCGGCAAGGGGGUCAUCCCGACUUACCAACCCGAUGCAAACUGCGAAUACCGGAGAAUGUUAUCACGGGAGACACACGGCGGGUGCUAACGUCCGUCGUGAAGAGGGAAACAACCCAGACCGCCAGCUAAGGUCCCAAAGUCAUGGUUAAGUGGGAAACGAUGUGGGAAGGCCCAGACAGCCAGGAUGUUGGCUUAGAAGCAGCCAUCAUUUAAAGAAAGCGUAAUAGCUCACUGGUCGAGUCGGCCUGCGCGGAAGAUGUAACGGGGCUAAACCAUGCACCGAAGCUGCGGCAGCGACGCUUAUGCGUUGUUGGGUAGGGGAGCGUUCUGUAAGCCUGUGAAGGUGUGCUGUGAGGCAUGCUGGAGGUAUCAGAAGUGCGAAUGCUGACAUAAGUAACGAUAAAGCGGGUGAAAAGCCCGCUCGCCGGAAGACCAAGGGUUCCUGUCCAACGUUAAUCGGGGCAGGGUGAGUCGACCCCUAAGGCGAGGCCGAAAGGCGUAGUCGAUGGGAAACAGGUUAAUAUUCCUGUACUUGGUGUUACUGCGAAGGGGGGACGGAGAAGGCUAUGUUGGCCGGGCGACGGUUGUCCCGGUUUAAGCGUGUAGGCUGGUUUUCCAGGCAAAUCCGGAAAAUCAAGGCUGAGGCGUGAUGACGAGGCACUACGGUGCUGAAGCAACAAAUGCCCUGCUUCCAGGAAAAGCCUCUAAGCAUCAGGUAACAUCAAAUCGUACCCCAAACCGACACAGGUGGUCAGGUAGAGAAUACCAAGGCGCUUGAGAGAACUCGGGUGAAGGAACUAGGCAAAAUGGUGCCGUAACUUCGGGAGAAGGCACGCUGAUAUGUAGGUGAAGUCCCUUGCGGAUGGAGCUGAAAUCAGUCGAAGAUACCAGCUGGCUGCAACUGUUUAUUAAAAACACAGCACUGUGCAAACACGAAAGUGGACGUAUACGGUGUGACGCCUGCCCGGUGCCGGAAGGUUAAUUGAUGGGGUCAGCGCAAGCGAAGCUCUUGAUCGAAGCCCCGGUAAACGGCGGCCGUAACUAUAACGGUCCUAAGGUAGCGAAAUUCCUUGUCGGGUAAGUUCCGACCUGCACGAAUGGCGUAAUGAUGGCCAGGCUGUCUCCACCCGAGACUCAGUGAAAUUGAACUCGCUGUGAAGAUGCAGUGUACCCGCGGCAAGACGGAAAGACCCCGUGAACCUUUACUAUAGCUUGACACUGAACAUUGAGCCUUGAUGUGUAGGAUAGGUGGGAGGCUUUGAAGUGUGGACGCCAGUCUGCAUGGAGCCGACCUUGAAAUACCACCCUUUAAUGUUUGAUGUUCUAACGUGGACCCGUGAUCCGGGUUGCGGACAGUGUCUGGUGGGUAGUUUGACUGGGGCGGUCUCCUCCUAAAGAGUAACGGAGGAGCACGAAGGUUGGCUAAUCCUGGUCGGACAUCAGGAGGUUAGUGCAAUGGCAUAAGCCAGCUUGACUGCGAGCGUGACGGCGCGAGCAGGUGCGAAAGCAGGUCAUAGUGAUCCGGUGGUUCUGAAUGGAAGGGCCAUCGCUCAACGGAUAAAAGGUACUCCGGGGAUAACAGGCUGAUACCGCCCAAGAGUUCAUAUCGACGGCGGUGUUUGGCACCUCGAUGUCGGCUCAUCACAUCCUGGGGCUGAAGUAGGUCCCAAGGGUAUGGCUGUUCGCCAUUUAAAGUGGUACGCGAGCUGGGUUUAGAACGUCGUGAGACAGUUCGGUCCCUAUCUGCCGUGGGCGCUGGAGAACUGAGGGGGGCUGCUCCUAGUACGAGAGGACCGGAGUGGACGCAUCACUGGUGUUCGGGUUGUCAUGCCAAUGGCACUGCCCGGUAGCUAAAUGCGGAAGAGAUAAGUGCUGAAAGC
rnacentral:rRNA from 1 species